UGUUUGAUUGUUUUGGAGAUUUUUUGUCUUAAUGAGUGAUUCACCUUUGUUUAGAACCCUCCCAAGCUGGCUACUCCUCUAUUUGAUACUAAAAUGGCAGAGGACCCUAAGAUGACAUACAUAGACCUAGAUAAUCUUCAAAUUGUGUUUUGAACGAAGAGUGUUUGGUCUUGCAUUGUGAUGGCGUCUGAGUGUUGGCUUGGUCUCUGUUGGCUUGCUACAUAUCUAGAAAGCUCCAUGAUUUGUGCUAAGGUAGUUCUUCUCAACGAGCAUAUCUGAGAUGGAACUUCCAUGCUACUUGCUUUUCCGAGUUUGAUUUGCUGCUACAAGAUCGGAAAGAUAUUAUCUGAAGCGUAUCCAAUUUGGAUUUUUCCAGCUCAAAAUAUCAGUAGAUUUGUUGUGGUAGUGCCUUAACAGGAUUUGAGACUUCUCCAUUCAGG